UACGUAGGGUGCAAGCGUUAAUCGGAAUUACUGGGCGUAAAGCGUGCGCAGGCGGUUUUGUAAGUCUGUCGUGAAAGCCCCGGGCUCAACCUGGGAAUUGCGAUGGAGACUGCAAGGCUUGAAUCUGGCAGAGGGGGGUAGAAUUCCACGUGUAGCAGUAAAAUGCGUAGAGAUGUGGAGGAACACCGAUGGCGAAGGCAGCCCCCUGGGUCAAGAUUGACGCUCAUGCACGAAAGCGUGGGGAGCAAACAGG
rnacentral:rRNA from 1 species